AUUGAACGUUGGCGGCAGGCUUAACACAUGCAAGUCGAGCGAGCGGCGGACGGGUGAGUAAUGUCUGGGAACCUGCCUGAUGGACGGGGAUAACUACUGGCAACGGUAGCUAAUACCGCAUAUCAUCAGAUGUGCCCAGAUGUGAUUAGCUAGUAGGUGGGGUAAUGGUGCACCUAGGCGACGAUCCCUAGCUGGUCUGUGAGGAUGACCAGUACAACUGAGACGUGGAGACAGUCGAGUGUCCUUCGAGAGGAAGCAGUGGGGAAUAGUGCACAGUGGGCGCAAGCCUGAUGCAGCCAUGGCGCGUGUGUAAGGAAGGCCUUCGGGUUGUAAAGCACUUUCAGCGAGGAGGCGUUACUCGCAGAGGAAGCACCGGCAAACACCGUGCCAGCAGCCGCGAUAAUAC
rnacentral:rRNA from 1 species